GAUGAACGCUGGCGGCGUGCCUAAUACAUGCAAGUCGAGCGAACAGACGAGGAGCUUGCUCCUCUGACGUUAGCGGCGGACGGGUGAGUAACACGUGGAUAACCUACCUAUAAGACUGGGAUAACUUCGGGAAACCGGAGCUAAUACCGGAUAAUAUAUUGAACCGCAUGGUUCAAUAGUGAAAGACGGUUUUGCUGUCACUUAUAGAUGGAUCCGCGCCGCAUUAGCUAGUUGGUAAGGUAACGGCUUACCAAGGCGACGAUGCGUAGCCGACCUGAGAGGGUGCUCGGCCACCCUGUAACUGAUACACGGUCCAGACUCCUACGGGAGGCCGCCGUAGGGAAUCUUCCGCCAUGGGCGAAAGCCUGACGGAGCAACGCCGCGUGAGUGAUGAAGGUCUUCGGAUCGUAAAACUCUGUUAUUAGGGAAGAACAAAUGUGUAAGUAACUAUGCACGUCUUGACGGUACCUAAUCAGAAAGCCACGGCUAACUACGUG
rnacentral:rRNA from 1 species